AUGGAUAAGUCAAAGGUUUGGAAGCUUGUGGAGAUAACUGAUACAGCUCAGUGCAGAUCAUUAAAACUGGAUGAUAGUAUUAGCACAACUAAGGAUCCAAUUCCAACCACGUCGACCAGAGCAGCUCUGCUAUCGCCGCAGGCCGUCCGGUGCAAGAGACCACCGGACGGGUUCAAGCGCUUCGCGACGCGGGUCAAGAAGCCACCAGCUGAGACAACGAUUGAAAAGGCGGCACCACUGUCGUCUCCCUCCACACUCUCAGCCAUGCGCCGGCUGCGAGCUCGCACGCGCACGUGGUCGACCAGCACCACCGCCGCAGAUUACUCCCCGUCGUCGCGUCCAAGUCGUCGUCGUCAUCGUCGUCGUCGCUGGAGGACGACCCUGAAUAUGGUUACAUGCGGACGUUGGUAG
rnacentral:rRNA from 1 species